rnacentral:misc_RNA from 2 species
AACGCACAUUGCGCCCUUUGGCAUUCCGAAGGGCAUGCCUGUUCGAGCGUCAUUAUCAACCCUCAAGCCCGGCUUGCAGUUGAGCCCUAGCCCGUGACAGGGCUGGCUCGAAAGACAGCGGCGGAGUCGGACGGACCCCGGAUGCAACGAGCUUUCCAAGCGCGCAUCACGGCGGGCCGCCUGGCCCCGGCCUCGAAACCCCUUUAUCAAGGUUGACCUCGGAUCAGGUAGGGAUACCCGCUGAACUUAA